ACAGAAGUCGUUGGAGUGGAAAAGCGUUGACUUCCUUUGACCAAACUCAAAAGCCACCGACAUGUGUAGAAAUAUUUGUUUAAUUUGACUUGUGUGCACGCUUAUUUCACGCUUUAUGACUUACUAAACGCUUCAAUAUCUUAAAUAAAACUGCAAAACAAAAAAUUAAGAUAUCCCUAGAUAGUGUUGGUAACACAUUGUCUCUACUACAUAAAUCACUUUUGGGGUCUCUAAUCCAAGUGUGUGCCUGCCGACCCAGAACUCUUAAUCAGCUUAGCCAAAUCACCCCGCUUUUCUGCCAGUGUACGCAUGGAUGGAGCCUAGGGAGUAGAACUCACCGACCAACAGAGAGAGAGAGAUGCUCAUUUAAUUAGUUGGAAACUCUCGGCAGCUCGACUGCGUUUACUCAAGCGUGUCCAAAAAUGUGGAAGUUGCCGUUCUAAGUCUUCGCGAUCGACGCCGCUCAUGCCGCAAGCCAUGUUUGUCAGUCCGUCAGUUACGUCGGCUUGGUCAUCAUCAAUUUGAGGCUUUUACCGUUAGGCCUCAGGAUUCCUAAGUGGCCGCCAAUGGCCGCUGGCGGUACCACUUCUGUUCGAGCUGGCGGCCAGUACGAAAAUGGUGGAAAUCGAUUACUCGUAGACCGUUUGUUUUUAACCAUUUGCAAGUUGUAUAAUUUAUAAUCAAGCUUAUUCAGCCCGAACGUGGCAUAUCGCCAUCAUCACAUCAUCAGAUCUUAAACAUCUGACAGCUCAACUAAUGGCGCAACAUCAUAAUUCCAUUAGUUGAGUCAUAAAAUCAAAAACAGCACUUCUUAGCCCAUAUCCAUGUCGGUAUAUUAACAGCGAUCAAUAUGCAACGGCUAAAUGGGUGUAAAAAACUGCCAUAACUGCCAAGAGUUUGGCCUAUUUUUCGAGCCGUCGUUUGUGCAAUGAAACCCAGCCGACUGCACCUAAAACAAGUCAGCGAUACCCAGACACCUGCAUAUGCACAACUUAAGUGCGGUGAAAAACAUAUUUAAAAAAAAUAAAAGACUUAGGCAACGAACUUGUUUGGCUCUGCACAAGUGUUAAUCAGCACAGCGAGCUGCAGCUAGUUGAGAGAUGGAUGGACUUGGAUGGCUUAAAAGCGGCGGGAGCCAAGGAGAAGUGCACUGCGAGAAAAAUCGCUAUGCAAUGAAAUGUUUGCAAAAACAACUGCUUUUAUGUCUGGAAUGUAUUUUAGGAAUACCUAAUAAAUAACUUAUUCUUAAAUAAAA